rnacentral:rRNA from 1 species
GACGAACGCUGGCGGCGUGCUUAACACAUGCAAGUCGAACGGAAAGGCCCUGCUUUUGUGGGUGCUCGAGUGGCGAACGGGUGAGUAACACGUGAGUAACCUGCCCUUGACUUUGGGAUAACUUCAGGAAACUGGGGCUAAUACCGGAUAGGAGCUCCUGCUGCAUGGUGGGGGUUGGAAAGUUUCGGCGGUUGGGGAUGGACUCGCGGCUUAUCAGCUUGUUGGUGGGGUAGUGGCUUACCAAGGCGUUGACGGGUAGCCGGCCUGAGAGGGUGACGGGCCACAUGGGGACUGAGAUACGGACCAGACUCCUACGGGAGGCAGCAGUGGGGAAUAUUGCACAAUGGGCGGAAGCCUGAUGCAGCAACGCCGCGUGCGGGAUGACGGCCUUCGGGUUGUAAACCGCUUUCGCCUGUGACGAAGCGUGAGUGACGGUAAUGGGUAAAGAAGCACCGGCUAACUACGUGCCAGCAGCCGCAGUAA